rnacentral:rRNA from 1 species
CCAGACUCCUACGGGAGGCAGCAGUGAGGAAUAUUGGUCAAUGGCCGGAAGGCUGAACCAGCCAAGCCGCGUGAAGGACGAAGGUGCCAAGCAUUGUAAACUUCUUUUGUCAAGGGACAAAAUCAGGCUCGAGAGCCUGACCGAGGGUACUUGAAGAAAAAGCAUCGGCUAACUCCGUGCCAGCAGCCGCGGUAAUACGGAGGAUGCGAGCGUUAUCCGGAUUUAUUGGGUUUAAAGGGUGCGGAGGCGGGACGGAAAGUCGGGGGAAAAAAUGGGGAGCACACCGCCGUCGGGCCGUUGAAACUGCCGUUCUUGAGUGAGCGAGAAGUAGGCGGAAUGCGUGGUGUAGCGGUGAAAUGCAUAGAUAUCACGCAGAACUCCGA